CAAGGCUUGACAUGGAUUUCUAAGCACGUGAAAGCGUGUGACCCUUCGGGGAACUUCCACAGGUGCUGCAUGGCCGUCGUCAGCUCGUGUCGUGAGAUGUUGGGUUAAGUCCCGCAACGAGCGCAACCCUUGUGAUUAGUUGCCAGCACGUAAUGGUGGGAACUCUAAUCAGACUGCCCAGAUCAACUGGGAGGAAGGUGGGGACGACGUCAGGUCAGUAUGGCCCUUACGCCUUGGGCUGCACACGUACUACAAUGCCCAGUACAAUGAGAACCGAUGCCGCGAGGUGGAGGAAAUCUGUAAAACUGGGCCCAGUUCGGAUUGGAGGCUGCAACUCGCCUCCAUGAAGUUGGAAUCGCUAGUAAUGGCGCAUCAUCUACGGCGCCGUGAAUACGUUCCC
rnacentral:rRNA from 1 species